UGGCCAAGGUGCCGAGGAGCACACAGAGGA
rnacentral:piRNA from 1 species